rnacentral:lncRNA from 1 species
AAUAAAGGUAAUAUAAAUUAAUGUGUGGGUGAAAAAAUCAAAUGGUCCAAAUCCCAAUCAACUAAAACCCUAAUUAAAAUUAACAAAAUAUUAAAUAUAAAAAAAUAAAAAAUAAAAAAUAAAAAGAAACAAACAACAUGAGAGAGUGGAGUGAAUGGUGACAUAGAAACAGGAGGAGAGAGCCUCUUCUUUCAAAAUUAAAAUCCUUCAGCCUUUAUGUGACACGUUGUUGGGUUAUUUGUUCGUUUAUGUUCAGUUGUUGUUGUUUUGGUGUAGAUCGAUACGGUUGUGACGCGGAUGUUUGGACAUGGAGGUUUGUG